GCCUGCAUGAGAACUGCUGUAUUCAUUGGUUUUCAUUUUCCCUGUUGGGUCGGAACCCAUGGCCAACACUUGGCAAAUGGCUAGCUUACAGACAAGGCAGACAUGAGGGGCAAAUUACCUGACCCAGCAGCAACUACUCCUCCAUCUAAGCCAAAGAAAGAGAGACAUUUGGAAAGCAGACAGCUAAAGGAGAGACUACGAUAAGUCUCGAAGGUGAAGUGUGUCUACGCAUUGAAAAUUGCAAAGUACAUCCCAGAACUUCAGAGAACAGUGUUGAGAAGACUGGGCUUUCAAUUGGGGCUACCAAGGAGAAUGAUCCUGAGAUCAGAUGACCCAAGACUCCCUGAAGUGCCACCACCUACAAAGGCUGAGCUGCUACAACUUCAAGGAGAUGUCACAACUCAACACAGGAUCAUACACUGUCUGCUGAACCCAGCUUCUUCAACGAGGAAUCCAGAUUCCCUAACGAGGUGCUAAAUGAUUCCACUAUGCCACCACACCACCCGUGAACUGAGUGAUUCCGCUUCCUUCGUAAACAAAGUGUCUGGACAAUGCAGCUCGCUGCGUGAUGCCAAAGCGGAGAGGAGAAGGAGGCCAAGGCUAUUAAUGCAGUGUUUAAUGGUCUACAGCUGGGUUAUUCCACCUCAAAAAGCACAAGAAAAAGGAUUUUGAUACCCACCAUCUCAGAUUGUUCUGAAAUCGUUUGUGUCGAUAGAAAGAUUAGCAUUCCUGAACACUAGUUUGUUUAAAUAUAAUUUAUUCUCUGAGACAUUAAGCUAAUUGACUGCACCCAUUGGCCAUUUGAAUUUACAGGAUUCAUAUAAUAUAUAAUAAAUAUAGUACCUAACAUCCGAUUUGCCCCAAACAUUUUUUGAACAAUGAGUUAGACAUGAAGAAUACAAAUAAAUGGUCAAAAAUCCCAUGUGGACCCCCCAAACCCAACGUCAAUUCCACCCCGACAAUGAGUAUAUAGUAUCAGUUCUCUAUGCCUGACAAGUAGUGUGGAACUAUGGCUCUGAGUUUUGUUUCUACAUCCUAUGUAAUGUUUUCUCAGUGAAUUGGGUUAUGUUUUUUCCCCCUGUUCAGAGAAAUUAGUCAUUGAAGUUGUUAGGUUUAUGUUCCAUCCUACAUCCUGAUAUUACCAGGUUCUGAACGCUAAAUGCUAAAUGGUGCUGUUCCCUCUAUUAAGGGAAUAGCACCGCCCCCUCAAAGUUAAUGGAUAGUU